GUCAGGAUGGCCGAGUGGUCUAAUGCGCAAGACUCAAGAUAUUGAGGCGUGGGUUCAAAUCCCACUUCUGACA